rnacentral:tRNA from 1 species
GGGGAUGGAGCUUUGUGGUAGGGGUUAUACUUUGCACACAUGAGGUCUUAGGUUCAAUUCCUAGCACCCCCA